rnacentral:rRNA from 1 species
UACGUAGGCAGCGAGCGUUGUUCGGAGUUACUGGGCGUAAAGGGUGUGUAGGCGGUUGUUUAAGUUUGGUGUGAAAUCUCCGGCUUAACUGGAGGUGCGCCGAAUACUGAAUGACUUCGAGUGCGGGAGAGGAGAGUGGAAUUCCUGGUGUAGCGGUGAAAUGCGUAGAUAUCAGGAGGAACACCGGUGGUGUAGACGGCUCUCGUGAACCGU